rnacentral:lncRNA from 1 species
UGUUUUUUUUUAAAGUUGUGUUGAUUUUUAUUUUCUUUUAGGUUUAAGAUUUUUCAUUUUUAGUUAUAAUCAUGCAUAUAUAGGAUUUGUCUAAGUAAAGAUGUCACUAGAUCUAUUAGGAACUGUUAUCGAAAUAUUUUGUCAUAUGAUAGAAUACUAUGAUGGUGAUUGCAAGAAUGGACUUUAAGACGAUGAGGAGGAAAGAUCAUUUGAGACUUAGUUUUUCAUGCAUUACUAAUGUGGUGAAGUCUCUUGAGAGCGUUUGGCAAAGGUUAGUUGGUUUGCCAGAGUUCAUCACUGGAUUAUCUAAUGAUGGCAAUGUGAUGAUACAAGUAUCUGUGGUUGAUCAAAAUAAUGUAUCUACAAUUUGUUUCAAAACCUUCCAAGGUUGUAA